AUUGAACGCUGGCGGCAGGCCUAACACAUGCAAGUCGAACGGUAACAGGAAGCAGCUUGCUGCUUCGCUGACGAGUGGCGGACGGGUGAGUAAUGUCUGGGAAGCUGCCUGAUGGAGUGGGAUAACUACUGGAAACGGUAGCUAAUACCGCAUAAUGUCGCAAGACCAAAGAGGGGGACCUUCGGGCCUCUUGCCAUCGGAUGUGCCCAGAUGGGAUUAGCUUGUUGGUGGGGUAACGGCUCACCAAGGCGACGAUCCCUAGCUGGUCUGAGAGGGUGACCAGCCACACUGGAACUGAGACACGGUCCAGACUCCUACGGGAGGCAGCAGUGGGGAAUAUUGCACAAUGGGCGCAAGCCUGAUGCAGCCAUGCCGCGUGUAUGAAGAAGGCCUUCGGGUCGUAAAGUACUUUCAGCGGGGAGGAAGGGAGUAAAGUUAAUACCUUUGCUCAUUGACGUUACCCGCAGAAGAAGCACCGGCUAACUCCGUG
rnacentral:rRNA from 1 species